UACGUAGGCAGCAAGCGUUGUUCGGAGUUACUGGGCGUAAAGGGUGUGUAGGCGGUUCACUAAGUUCGGUGUGAAAUCUCCCGGCUUAACUGGGAGGGUGCAUUAAAAACUGGUGGGCUUGAGUAUGGGAGAGGUAAGCGGAAUUCCUGGUGUAGCGGUGAAAUGCGUAGAUAUCAGGAGGAACACCUGUGGUGUAGACAGCUUACUGGACCAUCACUGACGCUGAAACACGAAAGCGUGGGUAGCAAACAGG
rnacentral:rRNA from 1 species